UUAGCUCAGUCAGUAGAGUAUUGGAAUGAGAAGCCAGAGGGUAAAGGAUCAA
rnacentral:tRNA from 1 species